GGUCCCUAUCUGCCGUGGGCGCUGGAGAAUUGAGGGGGGCUGCUCCUAGUACGAGAGGACCGGAGUGGACGCAUCACUGGUGUUCGGGUUGUCAUGCCAAUGGCACUGCCCGGUAGCUAAAUGCGGAAGAGAUAAGUGCUGAAAGCAUCUAAGCACGAAACUUGCCCCGAGAUGAGUUCUCCCUGAGACUUUAAGUCUCCUGAAGGAACGUUAAAGACGAUGACGUUGAUAGGCCGGGUGUGUAAGCGCAGCGAUGCGUUGAGCUAACCGGUACUAAUGAACCGUGAGGCUUAACCUUACAACGCCGAAG
rnacentral:rRNA from 1 species